rnacentral:rRNA from 1 species
CACUCUAAUGAUACUGCCGGUCACAAACCGGAGGAAGGUGGGGAUGACGUCAAGUCCUCAUCGCCCUUAUGGGUAGGGCUUCACACGUCAUACAAUGGUACAUACAGAGGGCCGCCAACCCGCGAGGGCGAGCUAAUCCCGUAAACCCUGCCUCAGUUCAGAUUGCAGGCUGCAACUCGCCUGCAUGAAGGCGGAAUCGCUAGUAGUCGCAGGUCAGCAUACUGCGGUGAAUCCGUUC